UCAAUGGAUUCAAUUGAAUCCACAUAACAUCUAUAGUAAGGAGAUC
rfam:Glossina fuscipes fuscipes unplaced genomic scaffold Scaffold1040, whole genome shotgun sequence.